UUACGGUCACAUCACGUUGAAAUACCUGUUCCUCUACGAUCACCGAAGUUAAGCAACGUCGAGCUUAGUCAGUAUAUAGAUAGGUGACCGCUUGAGAAUACCAGAUGCUGUAAG